UCCUCUCUGGUGCAGUGGUUCUAGAUAGUUCAACAGUACAGCAUACGUUUGUGAAAUGUUUAGGACCACUUGAUCAGAG
rnacentral:pre_miRNA from 1 species